rnacentral:rRNA from 1 species
GACGAACGCUGGCGGCGUGCUUAACACAUGCAAGUCGAGCGGAGCGCCGAACGGGUGAGUAACGCGUGAGUAACUGCCCUCCUCUCUGGGAUAACAGAUGGAAACGGCUGCUAAUACAGGAUAGUGGGGGGUGACACGCGUCCUAUCAGCUCGUUGGUGGGGUAGUAGCCUACCAAGGCGACGACGGGUAGCCGUCCCUGGAGGGCGAACGGCCAAAUUGGGCUGCGAUACGGCCCAAAUGCCAACAGGAGGCAGCGGGGGGGACUAUAGCGCAAUGGGGGGAACUCGAAUGAAGCAACGCCGCGUGCGGGAUGACCGCUUUCGGGUAGGAAACCGCUUUCAGCCAUAACGCGGUAGUGGCAGAAGAAGCACCGGCUAACUACGUGCCAGCAGCCGCGGUAAUUC